AGAAACUUAGGAUAAUAUCUUUCAAACCGAAGGCCUUCAAAGCCUUAAAUAAGAGUUGAACUCUCUUAGUUUCUG
rnacentral:tRNA from 1 species